AUGGAGGACCUCUUCAACUAUAUAAAUCCACAUAAUGGCAAACAUUCUCCCAUGGUGGCCAAGUCAACACUGGAUAUUGUUUUGGCCCAUAAAGAUCGCCUGAAUUCUGCCAUCAUCUAUGACUGAGAUUUCUCUUAUAAUUACUUUGGCUUUAAGACUCUGGAGAGGUCCUAUUUGUUGAAGAUCAAUGGAAAAGUGGCUGAAAGGCCGCAGCAUAUGUUGAUGAGGGUGUCUGUGGGGAUUCACAAAGAAGACAUAGAGGCUGCAAUUGAAACAUACAACCUUCUUUCCCAGAAGUGGUUUACUCAUGCUUCUCCCUCUCUCUUCAAUGCUAGUACCAACUGCCCACAACUUUCAAGCUGUUUCCUUCUGAGUAUGAAAGAUGACAGCACCGAAGGCAUUUAUGACACUCUGAAGCAGUGUGCAUUGAUUUCUAAAUCCGCUGGAGGAAUUGGUGUCACUGUGAGUUGUAUUUGGGCUACUGGCAGCUACAUAGCUGGGACCAAUGGCAAUUCUAAUGGCCUUGUACCAAUGCUGAGAGUGUAUAACAACACAGCUCGUUAUGUUGAUCAAGGUGGAAACAAGUGCCCUGGGGCAUUUGCUAUUUACCUGGAGCCUUGGCAUUUAGACAUCUUUGAGUUUCUUGAUUUAAAAAAGAACACAGGAAAAGAAGAGCAGCGUGCCAGGAAUCUUUUCUUUGCCCUUUGGAUUCUGAAUCUCUUCAUGAAACGAGUAGAGACUAAUCAGGACUGGUCUUUGCUGUGUCCAAAUGAGUGUCCUGGCCUGGAUGAGGUUUGGGGAGAGGAAUUUGAGAAGUUAUAUGAAAGUUAUGAAAAACAAGGUCAUGUUCGCAAAGUUGUAAAAGCUCAGCAGCUUUGGUACACCAUCACUGAGUCUCAGACAGAGCCGGGUACCCUGUACAUGCUCUACAAAGAUUCCUGUAAUCGGAAGAGCAACCAGCAGAACCUGGGAACAAUCAAAUGCAGCAACCUGUGCACAGAAAUAGUUGAAUAUACCAGCAAAAAUGAGGUUGCAGUUUGUAACUUGGCUUCCCUGGCCCUGAAUAUGUAUGUUACACCAGAACACACAUACGACUUUGAGAAAUUGGCAGAAGUCACCAAAGCUAUUGUCCGAAAUUUGAAUAAAAUUAUCGAUAUAAACUAUCCUGUCCCAGAGGCACAUUUAUCAAAUAAAUGCCAUAGACCCAUUGGAAUUGGAGUACAAGGGCUGGUAGAUACCUUUAUCCUGAUGAGAUAUCCUUUUGAGAGUAUAGAGGCCCAGUUAUUAAAUAAAUAAAUCCUUGAAACUAUUUAUUAUGGAGCCCUGGAAGCCAGCUGUGAGCUAGCCAAGGAGCUUGGCCCAUAUGAAAUCUAUGAAGGCUGUCCAGUAAGCAAAGGAAUCCUUCAGUAUGACAUGUGGAAUGUUAUUCCCACAGACCUGUGGGACUGGAAACCUCUCAAGGAGAAGAUUGCAAAGUUUGGUAUAAGAAACAGUCUACUGGUAUAUCCCAUGACUACUGCUUCAACUGCUCAGAUCUUGAGAAAAAAUGAGUCUAUUGAACCUUAUACCAGCAACAUCUACACUCUAAGAGUCUUAUCAGGAGAAUUUCAGAUUGUAAAUCCUCACUAUUGAAAGAUCUUACCGAGCGGGGCUUAUGGAAUGAAGAAAUGAAAAAUCAGAUUAUUGCCUGCAAUGGCUCUAUCCAGAGCAUAGUGGAAAUUCCCGAUGACCUGAACCAGCUUUAUAAGACAGUAUGGGAAAUCUCUCAGAAAACUGUCCUGAAGAUGGCUGCUGAUCGUGGUGCUUUCAUUGAUCAGAGCCAGUUUUUGAACAUCCACAUUGCUGAGCCCAACUACACAAGCUCACCAGUACACACUUCUAUGCUUGGAAGCUGGAUUUGAAGACUGGGAUGUAUUAUUUAAGGACAAGACCUGUAGCUAAUCACUCUAAAUAAGGAAAAGCUGAAAGAUAAGGAAAAGGCAUUAAAGGAGGACAAAGAGAAAGAGAGAAACACAGCAGCCAUGGUGUGCUCAUUGGAGAAUAGAGACGAAUGUCUGAUGUGUGGAUCCUGAAAAAUAGACUUAGAAGAAAACAGUACAUCAUCCAUAGACAAAAUCCUUGAGCAUAGGUAUAGUGAGUUUGCUUAACAUUAUAUGGCUUUGCUAGGCCAUAUUGAAGCAAAAGGAAUAUGUGAUUUAAAGUACUGUUUUUAUAGUUUGAAAAUAAUAUUUGUAAA